rnacentral:miRNA from 1 species
UCAAGAUUGAGAGAUAUAAUG